rnacentral:rRNA from 1 species
AGCUCUUGACAUGGAAGUCGCGAGCUCGAGAGAUCGAGCUUUUCGGUUCGGCCGGACUUCGCAC